UACGGGGGGAGCAAGCGUUGUUCGGAUUUACUGGGCGUAAAGGGCGCGUAGGCGGUCAGCACAAGUCAGUUGUGAAAUCUCCGGGCUUAACUCGGAAAGGUCAACUGAUACUGUGCGACUAGAGUGCAGAAGGGGCAACUGGAAUUCUCGGUGUAGCGGUGAAAUGCGUAGAUAUCGAGAGGAACACCUGCGGCGAAGGCGGGUUGCUGGGCUGACACUGACGCUGAGGCGCGAAAGCUAGGGGAGCGAACAGG
rnacentral:rRNA from 1 species